UACGUAGGGUGCAAGCGUUGUCCGGAAUUAUUGGGCGUAAAGAGCUCGUAGGCGGUCUGUCGCGUCUGCUGUGAAAACUCGGGGCUUAACCCCGGGCCUGCAGUGGGUACGGGCAGACUAGAGUGCGGUAGGGGAGACUGGAAUUCCUGGUGUAGCGGUGAAAUGCGCAGAUAUCAGGAAGAACACCUAUGGCGAAGGCAGCACUCUGGGACGGUAUUGACGCUAAGGCGCGAAAGCGUGGGGAGCAAACAGG
rnacentral:rRNA from 1 species